GACGAACGCUGGCGGCGUGCUUAACGCAUGCAAGUCGAGCGGAAAGGCCCUUCGGGGUCCUCGAGCGGCGAACGGGUGAGUAACACGUGAGUAAUCUGCCCUUGGCUUUGGGAUAGCUACCGGAAACGGUGGCUAAUACCGGAUACGACAACCGUCUGCAUGGGCUGGUUGUGGAAAGUUUUUUCGGCCAGGGAUGUGCUCGCGGCCUAUCAGCUUGUUGGUGGGGUAAUGGCCUACCAAGGCUUCGACGGGUAGCCGGCCUGAGAGGGUGACCGGCCACACUGGGACUGAGACACGGCCCAGACUCCUACGGGAGGCAGCAGUGGGGAAUAUUGGACAAUGGGCGGAAGCCUGAUCCAGCAACGCCGCGUGAGGGAUGACGGCCUUCGGGUUGUAAACCUCUUUCAGUACCGACGAAGCGCCGAUGAUGGUGGUGACGGUAGGUACAGAAGAAGCACCGGCCAACUACGUG
rnacentral:rRNA from 1 species